CUCUGGUACAUUAGUCAUGGCACCAAGGGGGGUAUUUGAAAAGUUUACGUCAAAAAUUCUUGCUUUAUUUCUUAUGUAUUGCAUCAAGGUAAAGGAAAUUAUUUAUUCAGUCAUUUUCACUCGACUCCACCUGUCCUUAUGCAGUGCCUUGCAUUUGUCAACCAUAAACUUUGAUGUAAUUCAACAGGAUGAAUUAAGACCAACACAAAAAUGUGCAAAAAUGAUAAAGUACAGGAAUUACAGGGAGCCUUCAAUGAGCGACAGAAAUGACCACUUAUUGAGAAAUAGCUUGUGGAAAUCCCGAUUGGUUUUGAUUGUGAUGCCGAGCCGCCCCUGUGGACUGUGGACGGGUGUAAGCGGUGUGGCCAGCCGGGACAUCAGAAGAACCUUCACAAUGUGGAAACUCCAUUUUGGGUUACAGAUAAGAUUCCAUACACAGCACGACCCGGUAGCAACGUUGCUACAGAACUGAAAUCAAUUUUUAUUUUAUUUUUUCAAGAAGGGAAAAAUAAAAUAACAUUUGUAAACAGAGCCAUCAUAGCAUUCGGUUAGUGUAACAUAUCAUUACUCUUGGCAGAGCCCAGUAGAUGUCUAGUGGCUGUCCCAAUACUGGUUCACUUUAAGUGUGCUACAUAACCAAUUGUCUUCAGAGGUCAAUUGAAAAUGACCAAGGUUGGUAUCUGUAAUUGGUGCAUUUUGGCGCAGUAAGUCUACAACAGACUACUGUGGAUGAUUUCUUCAGCAAUAGUUUCUACUGUAAGAUACUUUCAUAGGUUUUCUGUCCUGAAGUUCAAACUAUCCGAAAUGAGAACCAGUCGUCAGAAUGUCAUCUAGAUUCCAAUGUCAAAAAUUCCUUGAAGGACUGGGUUCAGUAAGUUGAAAUUUCAAGCAUUCAAUUAUGUAUCUCUGCAUUCUCAGAGAAACCAUAAUCCAUUUUUAUCCAUACUUCAUCAAAGGGCAGCUAAAUGACAAAUACAAACACAAUUAAGUGACAAAAUAUGUAACUGUUAUGUCAAUUCUGAUUAAAAGAAUACUUUCUGCCAUAUUUUAACCAAAAGGUAUGGCUAAUAAGAUCAUCUGUAAAUGUUCUUAUAUUGAAGUUUACAAAAUAUGAGGAUAGAAGUUGCAAGCACCUAGAUUUAGCAGGAAGAAGCUACAUUUCCAAGUAUUUUGCUUAGGACUCUAUUUUAAAUUUAGUCAACAACACAAGUAAAGAACUUCCUGAAGGAAUUACAAAUAGCUAUCUGGUGAAAGACGUCCCAAGAUGACCUUAAGAUGACAACAAAAUGUCCCUAAAGACAUUAUAAAAUGGCACAUGGUUUGUACCAAUUGCCUCUGUAGAGGGUACCAAUUUAAACAUUGUUAGCACAACAUGUCCCCAGACUUCAGGUUACAGAGAGGGCACAUGGUUAAUAAGAAACAUCCAAAAUGGCAGGUUCAGGAUAACUCCGAACGAAGUGUAUCGUAACCUAUCUUGGGUACAAUAGAGCCCCAAGGUGGGUUUGAAAUAGCUCACAGUAAUAACAAAAUGGUGCCAAGAAAUGUUCAAGAUCACUGAUUCUUAGUACAAAAUGUCAUUGAGGAGGGUGGAAAAUGACACAUGCUUGGUUUGAGGUGUCCCAAGACAGAAAGCUCGUUUUUAUACCCAAGAGCUGUGGAUCAGAAUUUUUUUUUUUUUCCAAAAGUUUGAAAUGGCGAGGGGGUGAAAUGACAAACGCCCCUCUGGAAUGCUGCUGAACUGGUAACUGGACUUCCAGGAACUCCUGUAAAUAAAAAAGAACUAUAAAUUUAGUAGAAAAAUGCAUAGAAUUUUUUUUUCUCUUGCAAAAGUACAUUUAAAGUGCACCUACACAAAGAACGAAAGACAUAUUUGAUAGCUAAGCAGUUUCCUGGCCUUUCUAGUCUGUUAUUUACAAAAAGUUACUGAUAAUUCUAUGAACAUGCUUGUCUUACAGACAUAGAGUUGUAUAAAGUUACUUUAAAACUUUAAAAUCCAUUCUAAUUCCUUAAGAAACUGUGGCUCUUUGAGCUCAGUUUAAAAUGUGCGUAAAGUACUCCAACUUGUCAGCUGUGUCUGAGGUCACUGUUUCAAUGGCUUCUAUGUUGUAUUUGGUACCGUCUGAACAACACUCCUACAUAUUAAAGCUGUCAGUGGUGGCUGGGGUAGGUGACAACUUGCUAGACAGUAGUGGAAGACGCCAGAUGGACUUUGGGCCUGAGGGCCCGGAUGGGCACAGAUGGGUGGGUGGGUGGCACCCACACAGCCAUCAACGCUGCCAGUGCCAGACUAAGACAAGGGGAAAAAAAAGAAAAAUGAUCAGACCAUUGCUACUGAUACUAUCCGCUCAUGACACUUUUUUCUAUGAAUGUGUGUUCACAAAUGUGACCUUUAAGUAAGAAAGAGGAACGUGUUUGGAAGUCCACUCUUUGUAAGAUUAGGAACUUUCUUAUAUACUUUUGGGUUUUAAAUGUGUCUUGCUGUAAAAUGGAUGAUUUCAAUUAGUCUGGAAAUGGCAAUUCCUGUAUGUGUGCUUCCAUUGCAAAUGUGCGCAAAACUUUAUCGAUAUUACGCUAAUGUAAAACGUAAACACAAUUUCGCAAUUGUGGUGUUUCAA